GACGUCAUGACGGUUCCCCAAGCCUAGCUAGAGUUUCUCCCGUCCCCAGCCCGUGCCGGACCGGCGGAUUCCCUCCCUCCGGCCCGGCGCGCGGCUAUAUAUACCACCGCAAGCAGCGUCCAUUGCUCCUCACCAAGCAAGAGCAAAACCAAUCAACCACAGGUCGAUCGAUUCGCGAAGUACCCUCCGAUCACAACCCAAGACCGCCAUGGCUGACAAGUGCGGCAACUGCGACUGCGCCGACAAGACCCAGAAGAAGGGCGACGGCUACGGCAUCGUCAUGGUCGACACCGAGAAGAGCCACUUCGAGGUGCAGGAGGCCGCGGAGAACGACGGCAAGUGCAAGUGCGGCGCCAGCUGCACCUGCACCAACUGCACCUGCGGCCACUGAACA